CGCCCGGCGUCCGGCCGCGCCGCCCGCGCCCCGCCCCGCGCGCCCAGGCUCGCUCCGGCCCGGGGCGCCCCCCGCGCGGGGGAAUUCGGGGUGGCUGACGUGUGACCCCCCCCCCCCACGCCCGCCCUGCCGGAGGCGGGGCCGGCGCUGGGGGCCGCCCUGUCCCCGGGGUGCCGGCGCGGGGGGCGCGCGCUCCGUAAACGCUGGAAGGUUGGCAGCCGAAGGGGCGGGCCGGAGGCCGGCGCUCGCUGGCUUCUCCGUCCUGACGUCGGUGCCGUGGUGACCGGCUGCAGCGUUGCUAGAAGUUCCUCCACGAGCGUCCAUCGUGUCCCUGGCGCCCGGUCCGCGGCGCGGUCCUCGUCGUCUUCCCGCGCGCGACAGUUGAGCCCGACGUCCGGCCGCCCGGCCCCAGGGCCCCCCAGGCUGCCUGCUCCGGGGCCGGCUUCCUCUCCGGGAAAGCUGCCCAGGCCGCCAGCUGCCUGUGCCUUUAGUUUGGGCCGUGGCCUCCUCGCAGUGCGCGCUUAUUCCUUCCCCGCAGCUAACAGAUCAGGAGCCCCAGGAGGCCGAGGAGAGGCAGACAGGAGUCCACCAGGCACGCGUGGCUCAGUCACUCAGGUGCUGCUCAGAGACAGAGCAUGAGUGGGAGAGGGGCAGAGAGAGAAGGAGACACAGA